UUGCAUUGGUGUUGGAACGGGCAUGAUUGCUCUGAUCACCUACUGCUGUUGUCGCUAUGGUCGUAACUAAUGCAUUUUUAAUAUGUUAUUGACAAAGGCCAAAUUAUUAUGGAUUAUUAUUCUGUAAUAAAUUCGCCCUAUUACGGCAAUGCACGAUGUAGAUUGAUUACUCACUCCGAGAAUAGAAAACGAGCUGCGUGCG